CGGGUGAGUAAUGCUUGGGAAUCUAGCUUAUGGAGGGGGAUAACUAUGGGAAACCGUAGCUAAUACCGCGUAGAAUCGGGAGAUGAAAGUGUGGGACCUUCGGGCCACAUGCCAUAGGAUGAGCCCAAGUGGGAUUAGGUAGUUGGUGAGGUAAAGGCUCACCAAGCCGACGAUCUCUAGCUGGUCUGAGAGGAUGACCAGCCACACUGGGACUGAGACACGGCCCAG
rnacentral:rRNA from 1 species